rnacentral:lncRNA from 1 species
ACCAACAUCAUUAUUAUUAAUCCUGGCUCUGCCACUAAUCGGCUGUGUGACUUGGUCCUCGUCUGUAAAAUGGAGAUUAAGACUGUGAGCCCUGCAUGGGGCAACCCGAUUACCUUGUAUCUACCCCAACGCUUAGAACAGUGCUUGGCACGUAGUCAGCGCUUAACAAAUGCCAUCAUCAUUAUUAUUAUUGCAGUACUCUGCAUUCAGUAGGUGCUCAGUAAAUUCCACCGAUUGACGGGAAGUGCUGGAAGUGUCCCCGCUCGACAGGGAGCCUCAGCAGCUAUUGGCAGGAAGGCAGGCAGAGUCCAGAUGACACGAGACAAGAGGAGAGCUGGGGUUUAGAACCCAAAACAAGGGACGGUGGAAAGUCCACCGAGGAAAAACAUCCCUCUCCCGCCCCCAGCCCCGAUAUUUUCCAUCCAGAUGUCACACGGUAUUUGUGGGAUCCGCAGGAGAAUGGAAGCAGAGUUGACAACGGAGCAGCGCCGCGACAACUGUUACCUUGGAAACCCUUGCGAGCAAUCCUAAUGACAAUUAGCAGGACUCAGACCAGGCUGUGUCGACAGGCCGGCCGUAAAGAGGGAGUCGGGGAUCACGCACGGGGCAGGGGACUGACGGAACGGCGGCUUCUUCCUCUUUGUGGGUCCUUGGCGAAAUUAAGAAAACUUUCCUGGAAAAGGGCGUACAAAUAAGAAUGUUGUGGACACUAUCCCUCGAGGAACUUGCAAUCUGUGAGUUACUGGGAGUCAAGGGAACGACCCGGGAAGCCCACAUAACCUAUCCGUCACCAAAACCUGCCGGUCUCACCUUCACAACAUCGCCAAGAUCCGCCCUUUCCUCUCCAUCCAAACCGCUACCUUGUUAGUUCAAACACUCAUCGUAUCCUGACUGGAUUCCUGAAUCAGCCUCCUUUCUGAUCUCCCAAACUCCAGUCUCUCCCCACUGCCGUCCAUACUUCACUCUGCUGCCCGGAUUAUCUUUCUACAGAACCGUUCUGGGCAUGUCACCCCCCUUCUCAAAAAUCUCCGGUGGUUGCCUAUCAACCUUUAUAUCAAGCAGAAACUCCUCGCCUCCAAGCUGUCCAUCCCCUGGCCCCCUCCUACCUCACCUCCCUUCUCUCCUUCUCCAGCCCAGCCCGCACGCUCCGCUCCUCUGCCGCUAACCACCUCACGGUGCCUCGUUCUCAUCUGUCCCGCCAUCGACCCCUGGCCCACGUCCUACCUUUGGCCUGAAAUGCCCUCCCUCCUCACAUCUGCCAAACUAGCAUGCUUCCCUCCCUCAAAGCCCUACUGAAAGGUCACCUCCUCCAAGAGGCCUUCCCAGACUGAACCCCCCCUUUUCCUCUGUUCUUCCUCCCCUUCCCAUCGCCCCGACUCCCUCCCUCUGCUCUACCCCCCUCCCCACCCCACAGCACUUGUACAUAUAUUGCACAUAAUGUACAAUACUUGUACAUUUGUACAUACUGUACGUAAUGUACAUAGUUAUUAUUCUAUUUAUUUAUUAAUGAUGUGUAUGUAUCUAUAAUUCUGUUUAUCUAUAUUGAUGCUAUUGAUGCGUGUAUACUAGUUUUGUUUUGUUGUCUGUCUCCCCCCUUCUAGACUGUAAGGGUAGGGAUUGUUUCUAUUUGUUGCCAAAUUGAACUUUCCAAGCCCUCAAGUACAGUGCUCUGCACACAGUAAGCGCUCAAUAAAUACCAUCGAAUGAAUGAACGAAUCUCUCCGGCAGAGAUGGGAGGUGUCUUCCCCCAUGGGUCACACAGCGCAGGAAACUGAGGCUCAGAGAGGUGAAGUGACUCGUGCCGGGUCACCCAGCAGGCCAGGGGCACAGCUGAGACUAGUCCUGGGUUUCCUCUCGGGUAUACGUGCUUCCAGAGCCUGGUUAUCAGCCCCAGAAGUUCCCGAAUGGCUGCCUCAAAGAUGUUAGUGGUGUCCGGACCCUGUGAGCUGCAGAUGUUUCCCGGUGGAUCUGAAGUCUAUCCUGACCCUAACAUCCAGACCUCUCAUUAGUUCCUCAACCCGGCCCCCUAGGUCAGAUGGGACCGACGCUGGACCAGCCAGAGCCACCCCUGCUUCCCGACGGCGGGGAUGGGGGAAGGCUGAGACGGGACACUUCAGCUCUGUCUCUG